rnacentral:lncRNA from 1 species
AAUAUGACAUAGUGGUUAAACAGCUAAACGCCUGAUGCGAGGGGCAGACGUAUACACUAAGUAACUAUAGGCAGACGUACACACUAAAUAAAUAUAGGCAGACGUAUACACUAAGUAACUUUAGGCAGACGUACACACUAAGUAACUAUAGGCAGACGUACACACUAAGUAACUUUAGGCAGACGUACACACUAAGUAACUAUAGGCAGACGUACACACUCUAAGUAACUAUAGGCAGACGUACACACUAAGUAACUAUAGGCAGACGUACACACUCGAAGUAACUAUAGCCAGACGUAUACACACUAAGUAACUAUAGGCAGACGUAUACACACUAAGUAACUAUAGGCAGACGUAUACACUCUAAGUAACUAUAGGCAGACGUAUACACACUAAGUAACUACAUGCAGACGUAUACACUCUAAGUAACUAUAGGCAGACGUACACACUCUAAGUAACUAUAGGCAGACGUACACACUCUAAGUAACUAUAGGUAGACGUACACACUAAGUAACUAUAGGCAGACGUACACACUCAAAGUAACUAUAGGCAGACGUAUACACACUAAGUAACUAUAGGCAGACGUACACACUAAGUAACUUUAGGCAGCCGUACACACUAAGUAACUAUAGGCAGACGUAUACACACUAAGUAACUAUAGGCAGACGUACACACUAAGUAACUUUAGGCAGACGUAUACACACUAAGUAACUAUAGGCAGACGUACACACUAAGUAACUAUAGGCAGACGUAUACACACUAAGUAACUAUAGGCAGACGUACACACUAAGUAACUAUAGGCAGACGUACACACUCGAAGUAACUAUAGGCAGACGUAUACACUCUAAGUAACUAUAGGCAGACGUACACACUAAGUAACUAUAGGCAGACGUAUACACACUAAGUAACUAUAGGCAGACGUACACACUAAGUAACUAUAGGCAGACGUAUACACACUAAGUAACUAUAGGCAGACGUACACACUAAGUAACUUUAGGCAGACGUACACACUAAGUAACUAUAGGCAGACGUACACACUAAGUAACUAUAGGCAGACGUAUACACACUAAGUAACUAUAGGCAGACGUACACACUAAGUAACUAUAGGCAGACGUAUACACUCUAAGUAACUAUAGGCAGACGUACACACUAAGUAACUAUAGGCAGACGUACACACUCGAAGUAACUAUAGGCAGACGUAUACACUCUAAGUAACUAUAGGCAGACGUACACACUAAGUAACUAUAGGCAGACAUAUACACUCUAAGUAACUAUAGGCAGACGUACACACUAAGUAGCUAUAGGCAGACGUACACACUCUAAGUAACUAUAGGCAGACGUAUACACACUAAGUAACUAUAGGCAGACGUACACACUAAGUAAAGAUAGGCAGACGUACACACUAAGUAACUAUAGGCAGACGUAUACACACUAAGUAACUAUAGGUAGACGUACACACUAAAUAACUAUAGGCAGACGUAUACACACUAAGUAACUAUAGGCAGACGUGUACACACUAAGUAACUAUAGGCAGACGUACACACUAAGUAACUUUAGGCAGACGUACACACUAAGUAACUAUAGGAAGACGUACACACUAAGUAACUAUAGGCAGACGUACACACUAAGUAACUUUUGGCAGACGUAUACACACUAAGUAACUAUAGGCAGACGUACACACUAAGUAACUAUAGGCAGACGUAUACACACUAAGUAACUAUAGGCAGACGUACACACUAAGUAACUUUAGGCAGACGUAUACACACUAAGUAACUUUAGGCAGACGUACACACUAAGUAACUAUAGGCAGACGUAUACACACUAAGUAACUAUAAUCAGACGUAUACACUCUAAGUAACUAUAGGCAGACGUGCACACUAAGUAACUAUAGGCAGACGUAUACACACUAAGUAGCUAUAGGUAGACGUACACACUAAGUAACUAUAGGCAGACGUAUACACACUAAGUAACUAUAGGCAGACGUACACACUAAGUAACUAUAGGCAGACGUAUACACUAAGUAACUUUAGGCAGACGUACACACUAAGUAACUAUAGGCAGACGUACACACUAAGUAACUAUAGGCAGACGUACACACUCAAAGUAACUAUAGGCAGACGUAUACACUCUAAGUAACUAUAGGCAGAAGUAUACACACUAAGUAACUAUAGGCAGACGUACACACUAAGUAACUAUAGGCAGACGUAUACACACUAAGUAACUAUAGGCAGACGUACACACUAAGUAACUAUAGGCAGACGUAUACACACUAAGUAACUAUAGGCAGACGUACACACUAAGUAACUAUAGGCAGACGUACACACUCGAAGUAACUAUAGGCAGACGUAUACACACUAAGUAACUAUAGGCAGACGUACACACUAAGUAACUAUAGGCAGACGUAUACACACUAAGUAACUAUAGGCAGACGUACACACUAAGUAACUAUAGGCAGACGUAUACACACUAAGUAACUAUAGGCAGACGUACACACUAAGUAACUUUAGGCAGACGUACACACUAAGUAACUAUAGGCAGACGUACACACUAAGUAACUAUAGGCAGACGUAUACACACUAAGUAACUAUAGGCAGACGUACACACUAAGUAACUAUAGGCAGACGUAUACACACUAAGUAACUAUAGGCAGACGUACACACUAAGUAACUAUAGGCAGACGUACACACUCUAAGUAACUAUAGGCAGACGUAUACACUCUAAGUAACUAUAGGCAGACGUACACACUAAGUAACUAUAGGCAGACAUAUACACUCUAAGUAACUAUAGGCAGACGUACACACUAAGUAGCUAUAGGCAGACGUACACACUCUAAGUAACUAUAGGCAGACGUAUACACACUAAGUAACUAUAGGCAGACGUACACACUAAGUAAAGAUAGGCAGACGUACACACUAAGUAACUAUAGGCAGACGUAUACACACUAAGUAACUAUAGGCAGACGUACACACUAAGUAACUAUAGGCAGACGUAUACACACUAAGUAACUAUAGGCAGACAUACACACUAAGUAACUAUAGGCAGACGUAUACACACUAAGUAACUAUAGGCAGACGUAUACACACUAAGUAACUAUAGGCAGACGUAUACACACUAAGUAACUAUAGGCAG